GGAGAGGUUUAUAGCUCAGUGUUAGAUCAUCUGUGCUACAUACAUGCAGAAGGUCCCAGGUUCAAUCCCAGGUGUCUCCG